AUUGAACGCUGGCGGCAGGCUUAACACAUGCAAGUCGAGCGAGCCGCGCACGGGUGAGUAAUGUCUGGGAACCUGCCUGAUGGAGGGGGUUAACUACUGGAAACGGUAGCUAAUCCCGCAUACCUUCAGAUUCGCCCAGAUGGGAUUCGCUAGUAGGUGGGGUAAUGGCUCACCUAGGCGACGACCCCUAGCUGGUCUGAGAGGAUGACCAGCCACACUGGAACUGAGACACGGUCCAGACUCCUACGGGAGGCAGCAGUGGGGAAUAUUGCACAAUGGGCGCAAGCCUGAUGCAGCCAUGCCGCGUGUGUGAAGAAGGCCUUCGGGUUGUAAAGCACUUUCAUCGAGGAGGCGUUACUCGCAGAAGAAGCACCGGCUAACUCCGUGCCAGCAGCCGCGGUAAUAC
rnacentral:rRNA from 1 species